rnacentral:rRNA from 1 species
AACGAACGCUGGCGGCGUGGAUAAGACAUGCAAGUCGAACGAGAUUUUUCGUUGUAGCAAUACGAUGGAAAGUCUAGUGGCGAACGGGUGCUUAACACGUGGGCAACCUGCCAGGAAGUGGGGGAUAGCUCGCCGAAAGGCGAAUUAAUACCGCAUGUGAUUAGAGAGGACAUCCUUUCGAAAUUAAAGUCGGGGCAACCUGACGCUUCUUGUGGGGCCCGCGGCCUAUCAGCUAGUUGGUGAGGUAACGGCUCACCAAGGCUUUGACGGGUAGCUGGGCUGAGAGGACGACCAGCCAAACUGGGACUGAGACACGGCCCAGACACCUACGGGUGGCAGCAGUCGAGAAUUUUUGACAAUGGGGGAAACCCUGAUCGAGCGACGCCGCGUGGAGGAUGAAGGUCUUCGGAUUGUAAACUCCUGUCAUUGGGGAACAAUGCACAGAUAUUAACUGUAUUUGUGUUGAUAGUACCCGAAGAGGAAGAGACGGCUAACUCUGUGCCAGCAGCCGCCGUAAGAC